UACGUAGGGGGCAAGCGUUGUCCGGAUUUAUUGGGCGUAAAGAGCGCGUAGGCGGUUUGUCGCGUCUGCCGUGAAAACUCAGGGCUUAACCCUGAGACUGCGGUGGGUACGGGCAGACUAGAGUGUGGUAGGGGAGAUCGGAAUUCCUGGUGUAGCGGUGGAAUGCGCAGAUAUCAGGAGGAACACCGGUGGCGAAGGCGGAUCUCUGGGCCAUAACUGACGCUGAGGAGCGAAAGCAUGGGGAGCGAACAGG
rnacentral:rRNA from 1 species